rnacentral:rRNA from 1 species
GGCGGCAUGCUUAACACAUGCAAGUCGAACGCGAACGGGCUUCGGCCCAAGUAGAGUGGCGGACGGGUGAGUAAUGCGUGGGAAUCUACCCUCGAGCGGGGGACAACCCGGGGAAACCCGGGCUAAUACCGCAUACGUCCUACGGGAGAAAGCGGGCCUCUACACUAUGCUCGCACUCGAGGAUGAGCCCACGUCCGAUUAGCUAGUUGGUAGGGUAACGGCCUACCAAGGCCACGAUCGGUAGCUGGUCUGAGAGGAUGAUCAGCCACACUGGGACUGAGACACGGCCCAGACUCCUACGGGUGGCAGCAGUGGGGAAUAUUGGACAAUGGGCGCAAGCCUGAUCCAGCAAUGCCGCGUGUGUGAAGAAGGCCUGCGGGUUGUAAAGCACUUUCAGUGGGGAAGAACGGAUACGGGCCAAUACCCCGCAUCACUGACGUUACCCACAGAAGAAGCACCGGCUAACUCCGUG